UGCAUCUAUUGAGAUGCUGAUUUUGAUUUUCCUUGUAUCAUCCUGCAGAAAUGACAGAAAAUCUGAUAGUUUUAACAUGUUCUUCGAACACUUUACAUUGCAUUAAAUGCUUUACAUUGAGCAGGAAUGUUUUUUUCUCUGCAAACUCUUCAAUGACGCAUUUCCUGCAGCAGAUAGCCAUCAUAGACCAAGGAGGUAUCUGCAUUUACAACCACAUAUACUCAUACUACAUGUAUGAGUAAUGCAGAUACACAUUAGAGAAAUAUGUUCAUACCGUGUCAUUGCACGUUCCCCCUGAGGUGUUGGAUUUAAGUCAUCUGGAGAUAAUUAGUGUGUUGUACCUAAAAUCAGACAAAUGCGACGGUCAGAGAGCGGUUGAGAUCAAACUUUACGUUUUAGGGACGUUGUUGUUAUAGGAACACCAAAUAGCAGUGCCAUUAAUUUGAAUCUAAUUUUGGAGUUUUAAAAACUUAACAUUUCGAGAAAUUAUGAGACAUCAUCCAGCUGCUGGUAUAACUUAUGGAUACUUCAUUUUUAUUUGAAAUGCCAGUGCUCAUUUAAAUGAAUAUGGUUUUUGGUCAUCCAUACAUUUUCAAUAGAGAUUAUUUUCUGUUUGAGCAGAAGUUGAUUUGAUAAAUCGACAUAUUCUGAGGUAGCUCUUUACUUUUAUUUUGAAAAUGAAUUCAAAACAUGUGCAGAUGAUUCUGUUUAAAAAAAAAGUUAAAAUGCACCCAACGUUAUGGUAAUCAUCUUCAUAAUGUGUACGUAACUUUAGUACCUCAUAUAAUUAAAAAAAUGAAUAUUUUAGAUAUCACCUCCUCUCACAAACCCACACAAACAGAAGCAACCUUUACCACAGACGACGUGCGAACAGAGUUCACCUUUUCACACCUGCAUCGGUUCAUCUUCGCUUCAAACACCAGCACCUCAACGGGGCUUUCAGUUUUAAAAAGUUCAACAAAUAUCUUACAGAGCAACACUGAAAACAAGAAGAAGCGCUAGCUGAAUCUUUUUUUUUUUUUAGUGAAUCAAAAUCCAAAACACAGAUGAUCAUUUUCUGGAAGUUCAAAGCAGAUUUUUGACCAAGUGUUCUCAGUAGAUCUACAGAUGAAGUUAAUAAAAGUCCCGUCUGACUAAAAUCUGGGUGGUGGGGGAAUUCAAUUUGGAGCCCAACUUUCAGGGAACAUUACGGAUGUCUUUGUCUAUUUGAUUAACCGUUUUCCUCUUGAUGUGUUCGUGCACAUGACACAUUUUUUUUUUUUUUGAAACAGGUCUAUUUUGACAUUUAAUUUUACCCUCCAGAGUUCAGGUUGGGUUUUUUCUGCGUAAAUCUCAAACAAUUUCAAGGAUUUUAACAAUUUAAAUGGCAGUUUAAGAUUAUUGCUGGACUUGCUUUUUUUUUUUCUUUCUUAGAUAUGUGAAAGAUGAGGCAAAAUAUUGACUUUGAUUCACUUUUUUGUAUAGCAUUUGAUUUAAUAUUCAGAUCAAAUAUUAAAUAGUAGGGUGUUGAAUAUUUAAAUGCCACUUUGAUUACGUGAUGCUAAUAUUUAAACCGGUAUUAAAAGGGCUGAAAGCCUCCAAAUUGUCAAAUAUUUGUUAGUUUUUAGAUGGUCUAAAUGCAUUAAUCCAUACAGUUUUGCAACACUUUUUUUUUUAUUUAAAUUUUAAAUAAACACCUCGAAGUUAAGUUGCAGCAAUUGUGGGGAAACGUAGGCAGGACUUUCGUAACAUCCGUUUCUGCAGCUGCAAGCAACAGAACGGUACAUCACGUUCCACAUCUGACACAACAUUUGGGGUUACACUCUGUUUACUGUAAACACAAAAACACCGUUUGACUGAGCCGUGUGACGGAGCUACAGGAGUGGCGUGACAAGUAAAAAGCCUAUACCACUCAAACAAAAACUGUAACAGAAGCCGCUCUCAGGAUGAAUAUCACCUUCUGCUUGCUGAAUCCAGACUCUCAUUCUGACUCUGCGUGGUUAGCGUGAUGCUAACCGUAUAUCGCGGUUGGCGUGAUGUCAAGCUCGGUAUGACUUCAUUAAUUUACAACAAAAGCAUCAUUGUGAAAUGAAAACUAAACUACAAGUAAGGGAAGAUAUUUACAUAUAAAAGUAAUUCAGUCAGUAUGAGAACAUAAUGGUUUAAAGUCUUUAUUGAAGCAAACUCUGCUAUCAAUGCAGAAAGUUAUAGAAACUAAAAUGGCUCAAUGUGUUUAGUUAGGCUAGCUAUUAUAUACUGCUAUAUUAAACAGAUUUAAGUGUUUAGUGGUGUUAGAUAUUUAAAACAGUAAUAAUCACUAAAGCUCUCUCCACAAGUGUAACACUGAAGUGAGAAACUAUUUAACAUAUUGAUUACAGCAAGUAACCUGGAUACAGUAUUUGAUUAUAUCGACUAGGUUAUGUUGUCUUGGUGAUUAGGUUUUUUUAAUAGAGUAGUAAUAUUGAUUUUAAUACACGUUUAUUUCACAUUUGUUGAAAUAUUUGCCACAUACAAUAUUUGACUCAUACAUACAAUAAAUGUAUGAGUCAAAGAUUUACUGAAACCAAACUAAAUAAAUAUUACCAACAUUUUUUAAGUGUAUAAAUCGCCGUAGGUUGACCGGCGUACAUUACAUUUCCAUAGGUUGAAUUCAAUGAACAAAGUAAAAAGAUUAGAGGAACUAUAAGUCACAGUUUAACAGCUGCUGGUAAAUCUCCUGCAGUGGUUUAAACAUUUCAGUCUAAAAGGCUAUUUUUUUUUAAAACAAACAAAAAACAUUUUGACAAAUGAAGUUGCACAACUCAACUUACAUCCUGAGGUGUUCUGAUAGUAUUUUUCAUUAAAAUACCCCUUUAAACCACAGGAAUCAUUUCUAUAUGAAAGCUACGACUCCUCAAUGAAGCGCCAAUUAGAUAUUUCUAUAUAAUCCAAGUUUUAUGGUUUCUUUAAGUAGAUAUUUAACUUUUUUUUGUAUAAUGUUAUACUUUUUAGUUGUUAUACUACAUCGUAAUAACAAAAUAUGUUAUCGAAAGAUAUUUUACCGUUUUCACUUCGAGGCUGUUUACCAUCCAGGUUGUUUUUAUUUUUUGUUAUUGAAUUAAAACUAAAUCAAAAAACGUGGUUAACAAACUAUACAUAAAUAAUUACAAUAAAUCAAAAGAUUUCAAGCCACCAUUCGUUAAACUCAUUUUUCCCCCGACAGGGUAGAGAAACCCACCCAUGCAUGCUAACUGCACCAUCACAAACAUCCAGCAACAACUUACACCAAAAAUCGUACAUUA